UAUCCCAAAAAAUGUUGAAAAUGUGGACAUCAGAAGUUUCACUGUGAAAUUUUAAUUUUUUUUUUCCCCACAUUUUCAAACUUUAAAAUGGGUCAAUUUUGACCCACAGGACGACACGAGAGUUAAUCAGGUGUUGAUGCAGCUGAUUAUUUCUUACAGCUGCUCAUUAAAGCUGAUAAACUUCAUAUUUAAACAUGAUACUGUAUUGAAGUGUGUUUAGGUCUGAUACUGUCCCAUAAUGCAGGAUAAAACUACAUUUUUUUGCCAAAUCAAAGUGAAAUUAAUGUUAUUUAUUGAAUAUUCUCUGUAUAUGAAUAAAUACCAGUAGAAUAAUAAAUGUUCUAAUCUGUGUUCUAUCAGCUGCAGUACCAGCAGUUUAAACAAACCAAACAGAGAAACAUAUUCAUGCGAUUUCUGCAUCACCAGCAGUCCAGUUCCCAUGGCAAUGAGAUGCAUACAGUGUGCGAUACCUUAACUACACAACUUCAUUCAGUAGUUUCAGUAACAUAGAGCUCAACAGGUUUACAGAUAAAACAUUUUCCCUCAACUCAUAAUCUGUACCACUUAUAAAGAAUCAUCAGGAAACUACUUGGUUCAAAGGAAACGCUUCUAAAAACUGAUUUAAAUCUCAACUCUCAACAGAACCAGCCCCGCAGCACCAGUUACCAUGGAGAUCCAGCUAUGCAGGACCAGUUACCAUGGAGAUCCAGCUAUGCAGCACCAGUUACCAUGGAGAUCUAGCUAUGCAGCACCAGUUACCAUGGAGAUCUAGCUACGCAGCAUCAGUUACCAUGGAGAUCUAGCUCAGCAGCAUCAGUUACCAUGGAGAUCUAGCUACGCAGCAUCAGUUACCAUGGAGAUCUAGCUCAGCAGCAUCAGUUACCAUGGAGAUCUAGCUACACAGCAUCAGUUGCAAUGGAGAUUAGCAGGCUCAAGGCGAUUCCACAAGCACCUACUCGGCAGGGUGCGGCUCACCACUCUUGUAUUUGACUCGGCUCGUCUCGGUUUAGUUGUUUUUCCAUAUAGCCUCAUCGUGGGUGGAGUCGUCAUAGCGCAGCGAGCCGAAAGUCCCUUAACGUCAUUUGUGUGCGACACAAACGCAACAUAGUGGAGACGAUGGUUCACCUGCUGCUCGGUCUGUGGCUUUCUGUCAGAUUCAAAGUAAUAGAAGAGUCAGAGAAAGCUGAGAGCAGCGAGUCGGAACACUCAGGAGACACACAGGAGAGUUUGGGAGGCGAUGCAGCAGUAUCAAGCUGAAGACAAGAGGAUAUGAACUAGACGACAUAUGAGGGUGGCUCUCUUGUGAGACUUCAUGGGAUUCACCUGAAGCAGCAGCACAUGAGCCUGCAGUGGCACAAGGUGUAGAGGAGGAGGACAGAGAUGUACAGGAUGCACUGAUGCACUACGUCUCAUGCAAAAGUUAGAAGUUAUUCUUCUCGUUAUACUUCUGUUUUUCUGUCCCCGGACUGCUAUUGUUUUCUUUAAUGCAAUUCUGACAAACUUUUGUACCUUUUGCAGAUGUGUCUGUGCUAUUGUUUUAUUUGUGAAGGUUAGCAAGAUUUCAUGACAAAUUAAACACCAAAACAUUAAAACAGCUGUUUUAAGAAUAUUCCAGUUUGAUAAAUCAGUAUUGCUUUGGUGUAAUUCAGUCAACGGAAUUAUGAACCAUAAAGGAGUUUGUGUUAAAACAUGUUAAAUCCCAUUAAACAUAAAUGCAUUAUUAGGGAAUACAGAA